UAGGGAAUCUUCGGCAAUGGGGGCAACCCUGACCGAGCAACGCCGCGUGAGUGAAGAAGGUUUUCGGAUCGUAAAGCUCUGUUGUAAGAGAAGAACGUGUGUGAGAGUGGAAAGUUCACACAGUGACGGUAACUUACCAGAAAGGGACGGCUAACUACGUGCCAGCAGCCGCGGUAAUACGUAGGUCCCGAGCGUUGUCCGGAUUUAUUGGGCGUAAAGCGAGCGCAGGCGGUUUAAUAAGUCUGAAGUUAAAGGCAGUGGCUUAACCAUUGUUCGCUUUGGAAACUGGUAAACUUGAGUGCAGAAGGGGAGAGUGGAGUUCCAUGUGUGGCGGUGAAAUGCGUAGAUAUAUGGAGGAACACCGGUGGCGAAAGCGGCUCUCUGGUCUGUAACUGACGCUGAGGCUCGAAAGCGUGGGGAGCAAACAGG
rnacentral:rRNA from 1 species